ACCGUCUCCCUUCUCCUUCCUCUGUCGCUCCAUCUCCUGCACCAGGUACACACCCGACAGCUCAUUUCCAUGAGUGCCGCCACAAACAGCCACACCACCCAGAGCUGGCAGGAACACAGACGCCAUCUACAACAGACAAAAUGAUCAUCACCUGAAGCUGAGGAUGAACAGCAGCGGUGAGAUUUCGUGUCUCAGGAUCUCUGGGAUAAUCCACACUUUUGAUAAACUUGAAGACUUCCACAUCUCCACCUUCAAAUACUGUCCCUCCCGUGGGUUUGACAGUACAGUUGUUACAGGAAUCGGCCACACACCGUCUCCCCUCUCCUUCCUCUGUCGCUCCAUCUCCUGCACCAGGUACACACCCGACAGCUCAUUUCCAUGAGUGCCGCCACAAACAGCCACACCACCCAGAGCUGGCAGGAACACAGACGCCAUCUACAACAGACAGCCUUUUCUUCAGUCAUCAGCUCUGGUUCAUCUUUCACACAUAAUGAUGUGGUCACUGAAGCUCGCAAUUUCACUGACCGUGAAGCUUCAGCAUGGAGCUAAUGUUUUGCUGACUAAUGCAUGCGCUUAAAGGAGAGCAUGUGGUGAAGGACGAGACAGAGUGGGAGGAGAAACAUGUCAAAUGAGAGGACUGCAGUGCUUUGGUUACCAGCUAAACAUUACAGCUAGAUGGGAAGUGGUUUAAUAAACCAGCAUUUCCUGUCACAGUUCCCUCCUACUUAAAGGAGGUCUCGCAGCAGGAUUGUAGCUGACGGAGGAAGUGGAAAUAAAGAGGAAAACCGAGAACUGCAUUUUUUUCCUUUUAUAUAAUUCAAGUUAAUAGUUGCUGACACUUUUAGAGUCAAAAAACAAAUAGAGGUAAGGCAAAAAUAAAACCUGUGGCUCCCGAUGAGUUCUUAAAAAGUAAUAUGAUUGGUCUCUGCAAGAAAUGAUCAUUAUUUACAGCAUUAUUACCUUUAAUCCACAGCCUUUGCAAAUUUUGAGCUUCCUGUUUCCACUACCAGUUUCAUCCACAAAUCUUCUGUAAUGUGCUUCUGAAGAAAGAAAAGUCAUGUACAUCUUGAAUGGCUUGAGAGAGACUAAAUUAACAGCAAAUUGUAAAUUUUGGG
rnacentral:lncRNA from 1 species